rnacentral:tRNA from 1 species
GGAGGGGUGGCCGAGUGGUUUAACGCGGCAGAUUCGAAAUCUGUUGUGCGUUCUGCGUACCGGGGGUUCGAAUCCCCCCUCCUCCGCCA